AUACGGAGGAUGCGAGCGUUAUCCGGAUUUAUUGGGUUUAAAGGGUGCGUAGGCUGACGUGUAAGUCAGGGGUGAAAUGCCGUCGCUCAACGACGGAGCUGCCCUUGAUACUGGCGUGCUGGAGUACGGAUGCCGUUGGAGGAAUGAGUGGUGUAGCGGUGAAAUGCUUAGAUAUCACUCAGAACACCGAUUGCGAAGGCAUCUGACGAAUCCGUCACUGACGCUGAGGCACGAAAGCGUGGGGAUAGAACAGGAUUAGAUACCCUGGUAUUCCACGCCGUAAACGAUGAUGACUAACCGUCGGCGAUAGACAGCCGGUGGCCAAGCGAAAGCGAUAAGUCAUCCACCUGGGGAGUACGUCGGCAACGAUGAAACUCAAAUGAAUUGACGGGG
rnacentral:rRNA from 1 species